rnacentral:misc_RNA from 1 species
GUGGGAGGGGGCUUGCCCCCGAUGGCAGAGUGUCAGUCACUGGAUGUGUUGCUGAUCCACCGUCAUCGGGGGCAAGCCCCCUCCCAC